rnacentral:lncRNA from 1 species
GGCACCUAACGGCUCUUCUUCGAGUCUUCUCAGAGGUUGGAGAUUCCCUGUCUUCUCCAACCUCUGCCAAGUCUUCAGAGAGGUUGGAGUGCGCCUGUCGGAGGUACUAGACCCCAGAUGAGGAUCUCAGGAAGAUCCACAAAGCUGCGUCCAGGGGAACGAACGUGUGGAAGCUGCAGCGGAGCCUCCUGCUCAAGAGUAAAGGACCGGUCUGAAACCUACAAGAACAGAUUCUCACAGUAGACGAGGAGCCUGUUUUUCAGCUAGCUGCUGCAAGGAGCUGGACAUUUCUCCCUUCAAAUAGGACCUGGAAGGCCUGGAAGCAUCUGGAGAAGGGCAUGGCUGUGAGUAGAGAAACAGAGGAUACAGGCUAAAGCAGGAGGAAGCGAGAGGACUCACGGAAAGCCUUGCUGCACUCUCCAAAAGAGCUGCCCUUUUCACGUGAAGAGCUAUGUGAUCGGAUCCCCGGUUUGGCAGAGUAGACAUGCGAGAAGACUGAACGUUUCAUCGUUGAAACCUCUUAAAGGUGGAAUGUGUGGCAGAAAGAACGUCUGAGAAGCUCACGCGAUUUGCAGAAGGAACAUUUGUAGAAGAUUCCCUGUUUUCCGAAGGAAUGUCAAGUUCCAAAGGACACAUAUUGCUUGUCUCUGAACUUCUCAGCUGCCUGCAGAUCUUCCUGUUUUUCAGCUGCAGUUAGGGUUUGUCUGAGGAGAAGCAUAACAUCCCUCCAGGCCAAAUGCUCCACAAAUAAAUGUGUUGAAUGAAUGAACAAAUGAAUAAGCGAAGUGAAUGGAACAUCAAACUGCAUAAAAAUAUAUUUAUUCAUAAAUGAGAGGUGAUGAUUGCCAACAUAUCAUAAUCAGACUCUGACCUUGGUUACUUAUGAGUUUGACAACGAAGAGGAAAGAGGAUCAGGGUCGGCUUUGUUGCCCACUUGGAGUGUAGUGGCACAACCUUGGCUCACUGCAACCUUCUCCUGAAGUACAUAUUAGCUCACCUGGGCUCAAGUGAUCCUCCCACCUCAGUCUUUUGAGUAUCUGGGAUUAUUGGCAUGUGCCACCAAGCCUUGCUAAUUUUUGUAUUUUUUGUAGACACAGGAUUUUGCCACGUUGGCCAGAUUUGUCUUGAACUCCUAAGCUCCAGUGAUCCACCCACCUUGGCCUCCCAAAGUGCUAGGAUUACACGUGUCACCAUCGUGGCCAACCAGCAAGCUCUCUUUUAAUGAUUCAGAGUCUCAGGCCAUAGCAGUAUAAGUAUCAAAACAUCUAUUCCCAACUUGGAGUUGAGAUUUCUAAUACGAAUUCUAUUUUCUCCAUAAUCAUAAAAUAGCAUCAGGAAAAGUCUCUUGACAUCUUAAAAUACAUAUCACUGGAAAGUAGAUCUUUUUGUCCUUCAGAUAAACAUACUGUAAAAUUUGAAAUGAAAAUUAUUCUUUGUACCACCAUUCUGAUUUUACCCAGGGUUAACACAAAAGUUAUAGCAGUACAUGAAGCUCUGAGGCUUCAAUGGGUGUAGAUAUAGACAUCCAAACCUAUAAUUUUACAUUAAUCAGAAUACUAUUCAUAUAAAUCACAAAUGGCAAAACCAUUUCUGAAGGUAUUUGGUUUUAUAGAUUAUAAAAUUAAACUUCCUUAUAAUUGUGUCCAAACUGAAAUAUGCUUCCUGUACAAAAAAGCUUUCUUCUAACAGUAAAGGCCUCCUCCCAACCCACCCGACACAUACACACACACACACACACACACACACACACACACACACACACGAAGAGAGAGAGAGAAUUUAGAGCACUGAUCUUUUCUCUCUUAGACUAAUUAUUUUAACAUUAUUUUCAGCCACUUUAUUAAUUGUGGGGUUAAGGGUAGGAUAGAUCUAAUGCCCAUUUCACAUGUGUUGCAACAUCAGAGAUUAUGGUUUUCAUUAAAAACAUCAGAGCUAAAUUCCUUUUCAAAAAAGACAUUGUUACUGUUAGUACCUUGGGGAAUGUUGUAGUCUUAUGAAUGCUGAUACGUUUAUUUGAGCCAAUUGAAUAUUAUCUCUAAUAUAAACUAUAAUUUACUGUGUGAUUCCUCUUCCUGUUUUACCUAUAUAUACUCAAAGUGAAUGAUUGUGUUUAGUGAACAUUUCUUUAGGUAAUAAAAAUUAAUUUCAUUUAAGAAAGAAGUACAAAAUAGUUAUUAGAGCAAACUUUGGUAUUUGUAAUUUUGAAGUUACAUACUUUUGAAAUAAACUUGGGCUUUCAUGCCAUGUUGGGUUUGAGGAAGAUAGCAAAUGUAUAAAUUGAGCUCUCUAGUCAUAACCUUGCUAUAUGUAUUCCUGCUCAUUAAAAUACUUUGCGCCAGCAAAAAUGAUUUCCAACAUAUGUGUUUUGGAUGUAAUUAAGUAACUGUAUAAAACUAAGUAUGUUUUUUCUCCUUUCCCCAGUGACUGGAAAACUUUCAUACUUUUAAGGUAAUAAUAAAAUAAUAAUCUUUAAAGAGCAA